UCAAUUAUCAUAAAUUAUUUAAUAGUUUAAUGUAAAACAUAGAUUUUGUAAAUCUAACAUGGUUUAA
rnacentral:tRNA from 1 species